UACAGAGGUCUCAAGCGUUGUUCGGAUUCAUUGGGCGUAAAGGGCGCGUAGGCGGCCUGGCAAGUGGAAGGUGAAAUCCCUCGGCUUAACCGAGGAACUGCCCUCCAAACUGCUUGGCUUGAGUCCGGGAGAGGUGAGUGGAAUUCCCAGUGUAGCGGUGAAAUGCGUAGAUAUUGGGAGGAACACCAGUGGCGAAGGCGGCUCACUGGACCGGAACUGACGCUGAGGCGCGAAAGCGUGGGGAGCAAACGGG
rnacentral:rRNA from 1 species